rnacentral:rRNA from 1 species
AAAUCCUUAAUGUGUCAUUGAGGAUAACGUAAGGGAAAAUAAUGAUAAUACCUUACUAUUAGUGUCGUCCAAGUGCUCGUGCCAGAAGACUCGGUAAGGCGAGAGACGCAAACGUUAUUCGUCUUGAUCAGGCGUAAAGGGUAAGUAGGCUGCUUUAAGUGUAAAAUUAUAUGUUUACUAUUAUUAACAAUUGUUUAAUAAUAAUGUAAUUAUACCGAUUAAAGCUAGAAUCUAAAGGAGGUUAAAACAAUACUCAAGGUAGGUGUACCAACCGUAGAUAAUGAGCAGAGUGUUAACGGCGAAGGCAUUUUUCCAAUAAAGAUUGACGCUGAGGAACGAAAGUGAGGACAGAAAAAAGGAUUAGAGACCCUUGUAUCCCUCACUGUCAACGAUGAAUGGUAGUUACUAGGAAAGAAAUAAUCUAGAGACGAUGUUAACACGUAAACCAUUCCGCCUUGUGAGUACGACUGCAAAGUUGAAAACAAAAAAAUUAGUCGGUUUCG